GUUUAUGAUAAAUUGACACAAUUUAUUGAAAUUCGUGUCACGUAUGAUGUAUAGGUGGUGAGCCCUCUAAUAAGGAUAAAGAGAUUGUGCUCGAAAAUCGGGAAUAAGAGUAUAUCGAACUCCUAGUAUAGCUUAGGAUAGUGUGUAGAUAGCUAAUAUCAUCAAAGGCUAUAGUCGACUUUACUACUCCAAAAACUGCAAGUUUACUGCCUUUGUGCACUUUUGUUUCUUGUGGGCCCACGAGUCACUGUAAAGUAAAUUUCAUAUCCUGGUUAUCUGUAUUGUAGUACGUAUGAUUUUAUUUAGCUUUUACAUUACAAAAAAAAUUAUUAAUUA